ensembl:lncRNA
ACAGUGGUGCUUUAACCCCUAGCUAAUGCCAGCAGAAAUCUGUAGCUGUUAAAAAGGAAACCCUUUUAAGGCUCCUUGCAAACUCUCUCUGCUGCUUACUUCUUUAUCUGGGAAGAAAUAUUUUUUUCCUUUAGCCUCAGUUUCAACCACAUUCCUUAUCUGAAGCUUUUCACCUAUCAGCUCCUUCCUUUCACCCAAUCACCACUGCAGCUGAAUUAACAAAUCAAUCUCAAGCUCCUCUGUGUUACCAUAGCAUUGUGUUAAUACCUGUAACACAGCGCUUACCAUGUUGUAUUAAAAUUAGCUCUGUGUGUGUGGAACUAUCAUCACGAUCCUGGAGAUUUUUGAAAGUGGAGACAAUGAGUUAUUCAUUCAGCGUUUUCUUUAUAAUGUGCCUGAAUCUUUUGCGACCCCGUGGACUGUAGCCCACCAGGCUCCUCUGUCCAUGGGCUUUCCCAGGCAAGAAUACUGAAGUGGCUUGCCAUUUCCUACUCCAGAGGAUCUUCCCAACCCAGGGAUUGAACCCACGUCUACUGAAUUGGUUUUGUCUUAGCAGCUAACCUACACAAGACUGAUGCCAUUCCUCACUUUAAAUUUUCUGAGCAUGGGCUCCAGGCAGGCGGGCUUCAGUACUUGCAGCUCACCUGCUCAGGAGUUGUGGUGCGUGGGCUUAGCUGCUCUACGGCACGUGGAAUCUUCCCAGACCAGGGAUCGAACUGGUGUCUCCUGCACUACAAGCUGGAUUCUUAACCACUGGGGCCGCAGGAAAGCCCUUACACCCUUUAUAAU